rnacentral:rRNA from 1 species
AAUAGAUACCCAGGUAGUCCACGCCGUAAACGAUGUCGACUUGGAGGUUGUGCCCUUGAGGCGUGGCUUCCGGAGCUAACGCGUUAAGUCGACCGCCUGGGGAGUACGGCCGCAAGGUUAAAACUCAAAUGAAUUGACGGGGGGCCCGCACAAGCGGUGGAGCAUGUGGUUUAAUUCGAUGCAACGCGAAGAACCUUACCUACUCUUGACAUCCAGAGAACUUAGCAGAGAUGCUUUGGUGCCUUCGGGAACUCUGAGACAGGUGCUGCAUGGCUGUCGUCAGCUCGUGUUGUGAAAUGUUGGGUUAAGUCCCGCAACGAGCGCAACCCUUAUCCUUUGUUGCCAGCGGUUAGGCCGGGAACUCAAAGGAGACUGCCAGUGAUAAACUGGAGGAAGGUGGGGAUGACGUCAAGUCAUCAUGGCCCUUACGAGUAGGGCUACACACGUGCUACAAUGGCAUAUACAAAGAGAAGCGACCUCGCGAGAGCAAGCGGACCUCAUAAAGUAUGUCGUAGUCCGGAUUGGAGU